rnacentral:rRNA from 1 species
CCUACGGGAGGCAGCAGUGGGGAAUAUUGGACAAUGGGCGAAAGCCUGAUCCAGCAAUGCCGCGUGAGUGAUGAAGGCCUUCGGGUCGUAAAGCUCUUUUACCAGGGAUGAUAAUGACAGUACCUGGAGAAUAAGCUCCGGCUAACUCCGUGCCAGCAGCCGCGGUAAUACGGAGGGAGCUAGCGUUGUUCGGAAUUACUGGGCGUAAAGAGUACGUAGGCGGUUAUUCAAGUCAGAGGUGAAAGCCCGGGGCUCAACCCCGGAACUGCCUUUGAAACUAGAUAGCUAGAGUCUUGGAGAGGUUAGUGGAAUUCCGAGUGUAGAGGUGAAAUUCGUAGAUAUUCGGAAGAACACCAGUGGCGAAGGCGACUAACUGGACAAGUACUGACGCUGAGGUACGAAAGCGUGGGGAGCAAACAGGAUUAGAUACCCUGGUAGUCCACGCCGUAAACGAUGAUAACUAGUUGUUCGGUCACUUGGUGACUGAGUGACGCAGCUAACGCAUUAAGUUAUCCGCCUGGGGAGUACGGUCGCAAGAUUAAAACUCAAAGGAAUUGACGG